rnacentral:lncRNA from 1 species
GGGUGGUAAUGGUAAUGAUAGCAGUUUAGUGAUGGUGGUGGUAGUAGUAGUGGUAUGGGUAGUAAUGGUAAUGAUAACAGUUUAGUGAUGGUGGUGGUAGUAGUAGUGUUAUGGGUAGUAAUGGUAAUGAUAACAGUUUAGUGAUGGUGGUGGUAGUAGUAGUGGUAUGGGUAGUAAUGGUAAUGAUAACAGUUUAGUGAUGGUGGUGGUAGUAGUAGUGCUAUGGGUAGUAAUGGUAAUGAUACAAGUUUAGUGAUGGUGGUGGUAGUAGUAGUGGUAUGGGUAGUAAUGGUAAUGAUAACAGUUUAGUGAUGGUGGUGGUAGUAGUAGUGGUAUGUGUGGUAAUGGUAAUGAUAGCAGUUUAGUGAUGGUGGUGGUAGUAUGGGUGGUAAUGGUAAUGAUAACAGUUUAGUGAUGGUGGUGGUAGUAGUAGUGGUAUGGGUGGUAAUGGUAAUGAUAGCAGUUUAGUGAUGGUGGUGGUAGUAGUAGUGCUAUGGGUAGUAAUGGUAAUGAUAGCAGUUUAGUGAUGAUGGUGGUAGUAGUAGUGGUAUGGGUGGUAAUGGUAAUGAUAACAGUUUAGUGAUGGUGGUAGUAGUAGUAGUGGUAUGGGUAGUAAUGGUAAUGAUAGCAGUUUAGUGAUGGUGAUGGUAGUAGUAGUGGUAUGGGUGGUAAUGGUAAUGAUAACAGUUUAGUGAUGGUGGUGGUAGUAGUAGUGGUAUGGGUGGUAAUGGUAAUGAUAACAGUUUAGUGAUGGUGGUGGUAGUAGUAGUGGUAUGGGUAGUAAUGGUAAUGAUAACAGUUUAGUGAUGGUGGUGGUAGUAUGGGUGGUAAUGGUAAUGAUAACAGUUUAGUGAUGGUGGUGGUAGUAGUAGUGGUAUGGGUAGUAAUGGUAAUGAUAACAGUUUAGUGAUGGUGGUGGUAGUAUGGGUGGUAAUGGUAAUGAUAACAGUUUAGUGAUGGUGGUGGUAGUAGUAGUGGUAUGGGUAGUAAUGGUAAUGAUAACAGUUUAGUGAUGGUGGUGGUAGUAGUAGUAGUAUGGGUGGUAAUGGUAAUGAUAACAGUUUAGUGAUGGUGGUGGUAGUAGUAGUGGUAUGGGUAGUAAUGGUAAUGAUAACAGUUUAGUGAUGGUGAUGGUAGUAGUAGUGGUAUGGGUGGUAAUGGUAAUGAUAACAGUUUAGUGAUGGUGGUGGUAGUAGUAGUGGUAUGGGUGGUAAUGGUAAUGAUAACAGUUUAGUGAUGGUGGUGGUAGUAGUAGUGGUAUGGGU